rnacentral:rRNA from 1 species
GAUGAACGCUAGCUACAGGAUUAACACAUGCAAGUCGAGGGACCGGCGCACGGGGGAGUAACACGUAUCCAACCUGCCCUGUACUCGGGGAGAGCCUUUCGAAAGAAAGAGUAAUACACAAUAAAAAGGAUGGGGAUGCGUUCAAUUAGGUUGUUGGUGAGGUAACGGCCCACCAAGCCUUUGGUGGAUAGGUGUUCGGAGAGGCAGGUCCCCCACAUUGUAACUGAGACUCGGUCCCAACUCCUACGGGAGGCAGCAGUGGUGAAUAUUGCUCAAUGGGCGUCAGCCUGAACCAGCCAAGUAGCGUUAAGGAUGAAGGCUUAUGGGUCGUAAACUUCUGUUAUAUAAGAAUAUGUAUUAUAUUAAUAAAGAUCGGCUAACUCCGUGCCAGCAGCCGCGGUAAUUC